rnacentral:rRNA from 1 species
GAUGAACGCUGGCGGCGUGCCUAAUACAUGCAAGUCGAACGCAUAGCGAAAGGUGCUUGCACCUUUCAAGUGAGUGGCGAACGGGUGAGUAACACGUGGACAACCUGCCUCAAGGCUGGGGAUAACAUUUGGAAACAGAUGCUAAUACCGAAUAAAACUUAGUGUCGCAUGACACAAAGUUAAGAGGCGCUUCGGCGUCACCUAGAGAUGGAUCCGCGGUGCAUUAGUUAGUUGGUGGGGUAAAGGCCUACCAAGACAAUGAUGCAUAGCCGAGUUGAGAGACUGAUCGGCCACAUUGGGACUGAGACACGGCCCAAACUCCUACGGGAGGCUGCAGUAGGGAAUCUUCCACAAUGGGCGAAAGCCUGAUGGAGCAACGCCGCGUGUGUGAUGAAGGCUUUCGGGUCGUAAAGCACUGUUGUAUGGGAAGAACAGCUAGAAUAGGAAAUGAUUUUAGUUUGACGGUACCAUACCAGAAAGGGACGGCUAAAUACGUG